AGAGUUUGAUCCUGGCUCAGAUUGAACGCUGGCGGCAGGCCUAACACAUGCAAGUCGAGCGGCAGCGGGAAAGUAGCUUGCUACUUUUGCCGGCGAGCGGCGGACGGGUGAGUAAUGCCUGGGAAAUUGCCCAGUCGAGGGGGAUAACAGUUGGAAACGACUGCUAAUACCGCAUACGCCCUACGGGGGAAAGCGGGGGACCUUCGGGCCUUGCGCGAUUGGAUAUGCCCAGGUGGGAUUAGCUUGUUGGUGAGGUAAUGGCUCACCAAGGCGACGAUCCCUAGCUGGUCUGAGAGGAUGAUCAGCCACACUGGAACUGAGACACGGUCCAGACUCCUACGGGAGGCAGCAGUGGGGAAUAUUGCACAAUGGGGGAAACCCUGACGCAGCCAUGCCGCGUGUGUGAAGAAGGCCUUCGGGUUGUAAAGCACUUUCAGCGAGGAGGAAAGGUUGGUAGCUAAUAACUGCCAACUGUGACGUUACUCGCAGAAGAAGCACCGGCUAACUCCGUGCCAGCAGCCGCGGUAAUACGGAGGGUGCAAGCGUCAAUCGGAAUUACUGGGCGUAAAGCGCACGC
rnacentral:rRNA from 1 species